ACUUUGUCAUUAUUACUUGUUUCUACAAGUAGCUCUCUACACCUGGUUCAUGUAAUGAGUAGCCUGUCUAUCGUUUGUUGGACAUGAUUAUUUACUUUGUUUACUUUGAGAUCUACAUCUUACAGAAAUGUAGGGAAAGGCUGCGUACAAUAGACCCAAAGUGGUCAGACCCUUCCCCAGACCCUGCACAAGCGGGAGCUACAUGCACUGGGGCUGCCCUUUUACUUUGAGAUCUACAUCUUAAAGAAAAAUCUCUGUCCACCAAUAACAUUGAUUUUGCUAAUUUCUUCCAUUUUCAUUGAUUUUGCUAAUUUCUGUAUGCCAUGUUAAUGAAUACAGAAAUCAUGAUCAUCUGAAACUACCUUUAACUAUGGUGAUGAGCAAAUUCAUCCCCUUCAAUGCAAAAUACAAAAUCCAUGUGAGCCAUCAUUGCUACCUGCCUCCUGAACGAUUGGUCAUCUCCUUUGCUUCUCUAUCAGUUGGUUUACGGUGCUGUUGAGGAGCUUUCAUGAUUUUGUGGUAUUCGUCAGAAGUAGAUCAGAUGCAUUUCACUACGUGGCUAUGUGCACAUAAAUCAGUCAAGGAGCAGGCUUCAGUGAAGUGUGAUCCAGUACAUUUGUGAACAUUGUGCAGUUCUUGCUGAAUUCUGGACUUGACUGAACGGGUUCCCCCUAUUCCAAAUUUCUUUUUAAGUAUUUGGCAGUUAUCUUCAGCGUCCAAAUGGAAGUACUCCCUCCGUCCCAUAAUAUAAUAUCUUAUUGCACUCAUUUUGCUCAAAAAUUGGAUGUAAUACGAUCUUAUAUUAUGGGACGGAGGGAGUACAAUUGAUUCAUAUUAUGUGUAUCUUUGUACUCACCAUUGCUGGAUGAAAAUUUGGACAUACAUAGAUAGCUCUAGAUGUAGCCUAAAUGCUUUUUUACUCCUCAUAUAAUCACUGUUGUGAAUCCUUGUGCCUUUGCAACACCUCAUGUCCUAUAGGAAUGAUGUUCUAACCUAUCUGUGUAAAUUUAAAUUUUAAAUAUUGCAAAUAAAUUAGAAGAUAGACAUGCUUCCAUCCAUGCAGCAAGGCCAACAACAUGCAAGAGCACUGCCUUUUUAUUUAGCAUGCCAGUAAUAUUAUAGCUCUGGGGAUAAUAUUCUUGCACACUUUAGAUGCCAUUUGAUAGAUUGGGAGGACAGGUAAAUUUACAUAUGACAGCAGAGUUCUCUUCACCAAGUAUAUGUCAAUACAUGUCUCAAUGGCAUGGCUUUGGGAUCGAGAUCUACCUUGCUAACGUUACAGAUCAAUUGUCAAUAGCUUGUUGAAAAUCUCCCCUUGUUUGUAAUGUAAGGAUCUUAUGUAAUCUUAAGGUUUGCAGCUAAUAGAGAAACCCAAUCCAAGUAAAAGUUUUCAACCCAAUCCAAGUAAAAGUUUUCAGUAUUGCUUAAUUGUGUGAGUGAUUAACACUUUUUGGUUGUGCUGAAUUUCACUCCUACAUAGUUUUAUUGACAAUUUUUAUAUUCCUUUCAUUCAAAUGAGGCACAAGAUAGAUCACAUCUAUCGCAACGUAUUGGAGAUCCAUGCCCCUUGGUGUUCAAGAAAACCAUACUCACCAGAUAUUGCCACAAGGUUACUGGCAAAGCAGUACCAAUCUUGAUGAUUUGUGUAGGCAGGCCACCCAUAUGCUUGAGGAGGAAAUAUUAACGGUGUUGUAUCUCAGGUGGCAUGACUUUUUUUGUAAAGGGCAGAGUGGGUUUCUUUUUUCCCCAAUGAGCAUGUUGAUCCUUGUGGACAAC